UACGGGGGGGGCAAGCGUUGUUCGGAAUUACUGGGCGUAAAGGGCUCGUAGGCGCCAACUAAGUCGGACGUGAAAUCCCUCGGCUUAACCGGGGAACUGCGUCCGAUACUGGAUGGCUUGAGUUCGGGAGAGGGAUGCGGAAUUCCAGGUGUAGCGGUGGAAUGCGCAGAUAUCAGGAGGAACACCGAUGGCGAAGGCAGGUCUCUGGGCCAUUACUGACACUGAGAAGCGAAAGCAUGGGGAGCGAACAGG
rnacentral:rRNA from 1 species